AUUUAUAUAGUUUAUAUAAAACCUUACAAUUUCAAUGUAAAAUUAGAAAUUUUUUCUUAUAAAUA
rnacentral:tRNA from 1 species